rnacentral:rRNA from 1 species
AUAACUCCGGAAUAGCCUUUCGAAAGAAAGAUUAAUACCGGAUAGCAUACGAAUAUCGCAUGAUAUUUUUAUUAAAGAAUUUCGGUCAUCGAUGGGGAUGCGUUCCAUUAGGUUGUUGGCGGGGUAACGGCCCACCAAGCCUUCGAUGGAUAGGGGUUCUGAGAGGAAGGUCCCCCACAUUGAAACUGAGACACGGUCCAAACUCCUACGGGAGGCAGCAUG